AUUGAACGCUGGCGGCAGGCCUAACACAUGCAAGUCGAACGGCAGCGGGGGGUAGCUUGCUACCCCGCCGGCGAGUGGCGGACGGGUGAGUAAUGCCUGGGGAGCUGCCCAAUCGAGGGGGAUACCAGUUGGAAACGACUGCUAAUACCGCAUACGCCCUGAGGGGGAAAGGUGGGGAUCUUCGGACCUACCGCGAUUGGAUGCACCCAGGUGGGAUUAGCUAGUUGGUGAGGUAACGGCUCACCAAGGCGACGAUCUCUAGCUGGUCUGAGAGGAUGACCAGCCACACUGGAACUGAGACACGGUCCAGACUCCUACGGGAGGCAGCAGUGGGGAAUAUUGCACAAUGGGGGAAACCCUGAUGCAGCCAUGCCGCGUGUGUGAAGAAGGCCUUCGGGUUGUAAAGCACUUUCAGCGAGGAGGAAAGGUUGGCAGCUAAUACCUGUCAGCUGUGACGUUACUCGCAGAAGAAGCACCGGCUAACUCCGUGCCAGCCGCCGCGGUAA
rnacentral:rRNA from 1 species